rnacentral:rRNA from 1 species
UACGGAGGGUGCUAGCGUUGUUCGGAAUCACUGGGCGUAAAGGGCGUGUAGGCGGUCUGUUAAGUCUGAUGUGAAAUCCCCUCGCUCAACGAGGGAACUGCGUCGGAUACUGGCAGACUCGAGUACCGGAGAGGAAGGUGGAAUUCCCGGUGUAGCGGUGAAAUGCGUAGAUAUCAGGAAGAACACCCGUGGCUAAGGCGGCUCUCUAGUACGGUACUGACGCUGAGACGCGAAAGCGUGGGGAGCGAACAGG